AUGGUUUUGAUUUAUUUUUGCCUUCCCCAUUACCCAAGCUAGGCCUUUAUAUCCCACUCUGAAGUACAGUGAGCGACAGGGCCUUAAAGCGCAUGGUUGAUGUUUCUGACUUCGUUGCUUUGUCUUUUUCUCAGGGACUGUUCAGUCUUACACUGAAUGAACGUUUCAGUAUAAAUGGUGGUUAUCUGGGUAAGUAGAGCAUUCUCAAGUGAAAUGGGAAUCUCAGAGCUUUUUUAUGAGGAAGGCUGGACUGUGCCUUCUGGUUACAAAGUCCAACCUCUUCCGGUUCCCGACUGGUUACAAAGUCUAACCUCUUCUGGUUCCUGACUGGUUAUAUAGUCCAGCCUCUUCCGGGUCCUGACUGGUUACAUAGUGUCACCUCUUCCGGUUCCUGACAUUGUGUUCAUCUCUUCCAGGUAUUCUAGAAUGGAUUCUGGGAAAGAAAGAUGUCAUGUGGAUAGGGUUCCUCACUAGAACAGUUCUGGAAAAUAGCACAAGUUAUGAAGAAGCCAAGAAUUUAUUGACCAAGACCAAGAUAUUGGCCCCAGCCUACUUUAU
rnacentral:lncRNA from 1 species